rnacentral:rRNA from 1 species
GAUGAACGCUGGCGGCGUGCCUAAUACAUGCAAGUCGAGCGAACAGAUGAGGUUCUUGCUCCUCUGACGUUAGCGGCGGACGUGUGAGUAACAUGUGGUUAACCUACCUAUAAGACUGGGAUAACUUCGGGAAACCGGUGCUAAUACCGGAUAAUAUCUUGAACCGCAUGGUUCAAUAGUGAAAGACGGUUUUGCUGUCACUUAUACAUGUAUGCGCGCCGCAUGAGCUAUUUGGUAAGGUAACUGCUUACCGAGGCAACCAUGCGUAGCCGACCUGAGAGGGGGAUGGGCGACACUGGAACUGAGACACGGUCCAGACUCCUACGGGAGGCAGAAGUAGGGAAUCGACGGAGAUGGGGGGAAUCCUGACGGAGCAGCGCAGCGCGGGUGAUGAAGGGCUGCGGAUCGUAAAACGCUGUUAUGAGGGAAGAACAAAUGUGUAAGUAACUAUGCACGUCGUGACGGUACCUAAUCAGAAAGCAACGGCUAACUACGUG